GACGAACGCUGGCGGCGUGCCUAACACAUGCAAGUCGAACGGAGCAGAUCCCUUCGGGGGUUUGCUCAGUGGCGAACGGGUGAGUAACGCGUGAGGAACCUGCCUUUCAGUGGGGGACAACAGUUGGAAACGACUGCUAAUACCGCAUAAGCCCACGGAACCGCAUGGUUCAGAGGGAAAAGGAGCAAUUCGCUUUGGGAUGGACUCGCGUCCGAUUAGCUAGAUGGUGAGGUAACGGCCCACCAUGGCGACGAUCGGUAGCCGGACUGAGAGGUUGAUCGGCCACAUUGGGACUGAGACACGGCCCAG
rnacentral:rRNA from 1 species